GGAAUCAAACCACCUCAAAUGCAAAUAUUAUGAAAAAUGACAGCAUGUGUUGGUCUACAUCGUUAAAGAUGAAAAUGAAAAGCUUCACUUUCCAUGAGAACAAAAUCAUUCUCUAUUCAUCGCAUCAACAUUUUUCUUCUGCAACAUACAAUAAAAGAAUAGAAGAAAAAUAAAAGAAUUCAGAUCUUCCUAUUUGAUUAGCAAUAUCUAGAUAAGUUUCUUCUUUAGGAAGAAACGCUUUAAAUGCCACAACUGCAGAGUUGAGACCAAAAUGCAAAGACCCAAAGACAUGAUACUAAACCAUGCUACU
rnacentral:misc_RNA from 1 species